rnacentral:other from 1 species
GGUGCCCCGUUGAGGAGGCGUGGCCUAAGCGAAAGAGCCAACACCUAUCAAAAGGGAGCUUAGCUCUGGACGUGUAUUGCAGGCCUCAUCCCGCUUUGCGGGAUAGUGGAAGCAAAAAGCGCCCAGGCGGCACCCACCGUGCGAAAGACGGUUCUUUGCUUCCCACGCCCUAACGGGGCUUUU